rnacentral:lncRNA from 12 species
AUUUAUGUGACGUGGAUUCCACCUAAAGAAACACAAAACCCCAAGACAGAGGCGCGAGCUCACGCUGGGGCAUGGCUUCGGCGGGUCUGGGUCUGGGUCUGGGUCUGGAUCUGGCCCCGCAGGCGGAGAGGGGGCUCUCCUAAGUCUGUGCCAGUGGGGGGGGGGCAUGAGGCCGCGGGGACACCAGGCCACCUGCACCCUGCGCCUCGCUCGCCAGGACGCCCGGGGGGUUCCCGGCCCCAGCCCUGCCCCCGGGGAGCCUCUGAGCCACCUGAGCGAAUCCAGGUGAGCGCGGCCCUGCCCCGGGGCCAGAGCUCCCGCCGCCCCACGGUGCCCGGCCCCCACCAGGGCACCCUGACCCGGUCUUCAGCACCCCCCCCCCCAGGCGCAGACCCGGGCAGCACCCAGAGCAGGGCCUGCACGUGGCAGGCACCCAGUGCGGGUGGACAGGCGGGCGGCCGCGGCGCGGGAUCGGGCGCGGACAGGACGCCGAGGGCAUCGCCCAGCUGCCCACCCCGGGCAGGGACCCGGCCAGGGAGCCCUCCACGCGGCCCCGCCGUCCUGCGAGGACCCCUGGACCCGCGGCCCCCUGGGUGGCAGGUNNNNNNNNNNNNNNNNNNNNNNNNNNNNNNNNNNNNNNNNNNNNNNNNCGCCCCGACGCCAGAAUGUCCUGCAGCGCCACCGAGUGACCGCCCGGGGCUCGCCGCUGCCCGCGCGCAGCGCCGCCCACCUUCCAGCAAGGACGUGGGUGCCCCGCCGCCCCGCACGGCCCGCGUCCGUUCCUCCCUCAAGGCCCCAAAUGACGUGUCUCGGCCCCUGCCCUGCUGCGGUCCCGGGGCUCCGCUGCCGCGGGGCCUGCAAACCAAGCCUCUGCCGGGCCUCCCCAGGGCCUCCCCCCUGCAGCCCCUCCUGGGCCCUCCCGCUGCAGCCCCUCCCCGGCCUCCCCCUGCAGCCCCUCUCGGGCCAACCCCCUGCAGCCCCUCAGGCCUCCCGCCACAGCCUCCCCCCUGCAGUCCAGACCUCUCAGAGCCGCUUCCCUUCCCCAGUCCCCCCAACGAUGCCUGCCCCGGGGCCCCCACAGGCCCACCCCCAGGGCCGCUCCAGCGUCCACGGGCCAACACCCUGACCUGGGUCCCCAGCAUCUCCUGGGCUCACACCCAGUCCCUGGGAAUUUGCCCAGAUUCUUCUGACUUCUUCCAGAAGAUUCCUUGGCUCAUCCCGCAUUUCCCGCCGUUUCCUGCUGUGCCUCCUGCACCCUACGCCCAGGACCCCUGGCAACGCCUCACACGCCCUAGGGCCCCGUCGGCGCUGCGCCUGUACCGCUCCCGCCACCCCGGCUCGGCGCCCGCAGGACCCACGACCCACAUGCAGGUGCGACGACCACGGGCCUCGGGCAGGACGGUGGUGAGCACGUGCGUGGAGCGCCCGCCCCGCGGCCCCGCCCUCCCGCCGCGGAUUGGCCCGCUGCGCGCACCGCAGCCAGGCUCAGCCAAUCAGUCUCCAGCCCCUCCCACGGCCACAGCCGAUUGGCCCGCGGAGGGCGGCCAAUCCGAGCGCGGCCGGAGGAUGCGCAGCAGGUGCACCGCGGGGGCCCCGAGUCCCAGGUGGUCCCCACAGCCGGCUCCCCGCGUCUCAGGUGCAGCUUCUGUCGCCUGCUCCAGAAGGCCUGGGGUCACUCGGGGGAGCCGCCAGCGGCCCUGUUGCCGGUGCCCCCCACGAGGACCGUGUUUUCCUACCAGCGCCCCCCGGGGGGCCACCACAUCGGGAUUCCAGGCUACUUUCCAUGCUUCCCCUGAAACGAAGCGAAGCCCGCUGGGGGCAGCAGGCCACCCGGGGGCGGGGGGGGGGGCUCGCGGCAGGUGA